UACGUAGGGGGCGAGCGUUGUCCGAAUUUACUGGGCGUAAAGCGCGCGUAGGCGGUUUCUUAAGUCUGGGGUGAAAGGUUCAACGCUCAACGUGAACAGUGCCUUGGAUACUGGGAGACUUGAGUCUGGGAGGGGGUAGUGGAAUUCCUGGUGUAGCGGUGAAAUGCGUAGAUAUCAGGUGGAACACCGGUGGCGAAGGCGGCUACCUGGCCUAAGACUGACGCUGAGGUGCGAAAGCGUGGGGAGCGAACGGG
rnacentral:rRNA from 1 species